rnacentral:tRNA from 1 species
AGAAUUUUAAGUUAAUAAAACUAUCGGCCUUCAAAGCCGAAAAUAAUAUCAGUUAAAUUCUA